CUCAGAUUGAACGCUGGCGGCAUGCUUUACACAUGCAAGUCGAACGGCAGCGCGGGGCAACCUGGCGGCGAGUGGCGAACGGGUGAGUAAUACAUCGGAACGUACCCAGAAGUGGGGGAUAACGUAGCGAAAGUUACGCUAAUACCGCAUACGUUCUACGGAAGAAAGUGGGGGACCUUCGGGCCUCAUGCUUUUGGAGCGGCCGAUGUCUGAUUAGCUAGUUGGUGAGGUAAAGGCUCACCAAGGCGACGAUCAGUAGCUGGUCUGAGAGGACGACCAGCCACACUGGGACUGAGACACGGCCCAGACUCCUACGGGAGGCAGCAGUGGGGAAUUUUGGACAAUGGGCGCAAGCCUGAUCCAGCAAUGCCGCGUGAGUGAAGAAGGCCUUCGGGUUGUAAAGCUCUUUUGUCAGGGAAGAAACGGCUGAGGAUAAUACCUUCGGCUAAUGACGGUACCGAAG
rnacentral:rRNA from 1 species